ensembl:ncRNA lncRNA:CR45541 long non-coding RNA:CR45541
CACAUGCACUCUCACUUGUAGUUGGAAACGCUCUACUCGUUGUUGUUGCAAUUACGGACGAGCCUCUUUGGAAAAAAUGCUGGAAAACAAAAAAGAUCACAAGACAUAAACAACAAUGCAAAAACGCAGCACCGAAUGGAAAUUGCACAUGAAAUCUAGCUGCAAAAAUAUGAAACAACAAAAUUCCAUUGAAUGGAGAGCCAGAAAGAGCGAAGUAGAGGGGAAGAGAGUGAGAGAAGGAGGGAGCGGAACUUCAAACUGGGCGGCACGUACACACACAAAAGAGGGCAGGGCGGGGAGACGAGCCCCACGGACACUGAACAAAAAUACAUACAAAUGCAAAGAUAUAUGUAUUUGAGGAUGUUGACGCGUCGCUAGAACUUGAGAAUUCCAAGAAGC